ensembl:lncRNA
CCGUAAGCCUGGCGCUCCAGUUUUCAUUCAGCCCGUCUUGUGUGGUGGGUAGGGAACCUAUGUUUGUGGCCAGUAACAGCUUCAGGCUGGCACAUAAGACAUCAGGUUCCCGGACCUUGAGGAGUGGGUCUUGAGAUUGUUGCUUUUGCUGCCCCGUAUCCAAACCCCCUUCCUAUUGGGGGACAACCCCAAAUUAGGUGCAGCAGAGGGGUCAACCACAUGCUGCGAAGACUUCUGGGCAGCCAGGACACGAGCAUGUGCCAGGACUUACCUGAGCAGAGCCACAGACACAAAGACACAGGGAGAGGUAGGCUUUCUCAGGUGGCCUCCGCAGUCGAGGUAGGCCUGAACCAACACGUCGUCUGGCAGCCCAUGGCCGCAUUCUGGCCACAGGGGGCUGGGACCGCGGUCUGGUUGUGCUCUUGCUAGGUAGCCUCCUUGUGUUCCUGCUGCCUCUCAGAGCCUGCUUCUCAUUAAGGCUCUCCUCGGGUCUCCACCACUCCCUGCUGUUUGCCAUUAACAAGUCUGACUCCCUGAUCUCCAUCAAGGGCAGGUGUGUACUGAGCUCUGGAAAGCCAGAGAUAGGAGCCUAAGUAAGUACAGAGCUGGCUGGGAGGGCGCCGUUGGGUAAGGCAGCACGGGAGGACACCUGGAGUGGCCUUGUCAGGUCUCCCGAUGGCUUAGAAGGGUCUCCAUGGGGAGCCAUGCUACCUGAUAGACAGUCCACACUCCAUAAGUCUGCCUCUUUUCUCUGAUCCCUUCUCCCCUCUGUCUACAAACCCUUCCUGAUGCCCGGGUCAUGCAAUUAAAUACUAUUUUUAAAACCAAGUUUUAUCUACGCUCCCUGUGGGUUAUCUCAGCUCCUACAGAGGCUCAGGAAACUGUGACGGCACGAUCGUCACACUGACUUGACAGGAGGCAGCCUGGGAAGUCAUGAUGGAAGAGGCUGCUCUCUUCCUGGCCUGGCCCCUCUUGGGGGUUCAGUGCUCGUCUCUGAAGUCACUGAGGUUUUUGUUGCAGUUUCCCUACGGUAUAGAGCGUGCCCUACAUCGCAGGGCUGGGCUAAGACGGAUUUCUGGCUUUCUUUUCUCAAAAAAUCAUGCUCAUUCAGGCACUGGCGAAUAUAGGUUCUGGUACUGAAGAUGAGCUGUCUGUUAAACUCUGAAUAGGGCUAUUCUCUCUGCAAUUAGAGACUUUUGGCUCAAACAAGAUCUUUUCUGGGAAGCCAUAAGCCUGUAUUCUGAUAUUUCAACAUUUCACCCCUCAUCCUCCCCACCAGCCCUCACUAGGGUUCAUAUCGUCCUAGAAAUGGAACACCACCACAAAGCAGUCACCCACAUGGAUUCUCCCACUUUGCAGGCUUAAGAUAAUGAAGUCAAACACACAUACACAGGCUCCAAAUACCUUUGGUAGAGCUUUACACCCAUAUGUGUGAAGGGCCAUUUCCAAACGGAAUAAUAACUGGAAGGCACGACUAAACCACUGGAAUAAAAUCCCCCUUUGGAUUAGGUAUCAGCAAAGUAAAUUAGUAACAUCUGAGCGCCUGUUAAGACUAGAGAUUCGCCGUUUGCUGGGACUGGCGUUUAUUUCAUUAUUGAAAAGGAAGGGAAAAAACAGAAGGAAUCAAGUCAGCUGUACUGAGUGUCGAUGACACACGUGCCUCCCAUUUUUGAAGCUCUUCUCCCUGGCGCCUCAGUGUACUGUCUGAGCUGCCCCUGGGCUACAACCGUGAUUAAGAGGAGAGGUCUCUCUUUUGAAGGGGUUGGUGGUCUCUUGAGCUGAGGAAGUGGAACACGGGCUCCCUAGCCUCCUUCGUGACUUUGAUCACCAAGUCCCCCGUUACGUUGGAAGAUUAAAGGCAUGUGGACGCCUGGGGGAGGGCAGCCUGGAGGUGACAUUCAAAAGCUCGAUUAGUCUUCUGCGGAUCAGUGUGACCUCUGCACCUGUCAACGGCCUACAUAUUCGAUUUUGAGACUCUCCCUGUGAUGAGCUCUCUGGAAACAGGGCCCUGCUUUUUUCUCCUCUGCAUACACAUGAAUGGCCGGGUGUAGGGCCUGGUGCAACGUUUCCCCUUUGGCCACCUGCUCACUGAGGAGCUCCCAGGGGACGGCGGUGCUGCUGGUGCUUGGACCCCUCUUUCGGAAGCCAGGCUCUAGGGGACGAUGGAGCCAAGAAUGGAAGGAACUAAAUAAAGAAAAUCUACUUCAACCAGCAACUCCUGACCUGUC